rnacentral:misc_RNA from 1 species
GAUGAAGAACGCAGCGAAAUGCGAUAAGUAAUGUGAAUUGCAGAAUUCAGUGAAUCAUCGAAUCUUUGAACGCACAUUGCGCCCGCCAGUAUUCUGGCGGGCAUGCCUGUUCGAGCGUCAUUUCAACCAUCAAGCCCCAGGCUUGUGUUGGGGACCUGCGGCUGCCGCAGGCCCUGAAAACCAGUGGCGGGCUCGCUGUCACACCGGGCGUAGUAGAUUUUAUCUCGCUCAGGGCGUGCUGCGGGUUCCGGCCGUUAAAAAGCCUUUUUUACCCAAGGUUGACCUCGGAUCAGGUAGGAAGACCCGCUGAACUUAAGCAUAUCCAAUAAGCGGAGGA